GAUGAACGCUGGCGGCGUGCCUAAUACAUGCAAGUCGAGCGAACGGACGAGAAGCUUGCUUUUCUGAUGUUAGCGGCGGACGGGUGAGUAACACGUGGAUAACCUACCUAUAAGACUGGGAUAACUUCGGGAAACCGGAGCUAAUACCGGAUAAUAUUUUGAACCGCAUGGUUCAAAAGUGAAAGACGGUCUUGCUGUCACUUAUAGAUGGAUCCGCGCUGCAUUAGCUAGUUGGUAAGGUAACGGCUUACCAAGGCAACGUUGCAUAGCCGACCUGAGAGGGUGAUCGGCCACACUGGAACUGAGACACGGUCCAGACUCCUACGGGAGGCAGCAGUAGGGAAUCUUCCGCAAUGGGCGAAAGCCUGACGGAGCAACGCCGCGUGAGUGAUGAAGGUCUUCGGAUCGUAAAACUCUGUUAUUAGGGAAGAACAUAUGUGUAAGUAACUGUGCACAUCUUGACGGUACCUAAUCAGAAAGCCACGUCUAACUACGUG
rnacentral:rRNA from 1 species